CGCGAAGGGCUCAUUAUAACAGCUACCCUUUACUUGAUCUUGACACUAUCCUACUUGGAUAACUGUGGUAAUUCUAGAGCUGAUACAUGCAUUAAAGCUCUGACCUCACGGGAAGAGUGCACUUAUUAGAACAAAACCAAGCGGCUUCGGCUGUUUUCGGUUGACUCAUAGUAACUGAGCUGAUCGCACGGUCUUGCACCGGCGACGUGUCUUUCAAGUAUCUGCCGUAUCAACUUUCGAUGGUAGUGUAUCUGACUACCAUGGUGAUCACGCGUAACGGAGAAUAAGGGUUCGGCUCCGGAGAGUUCGCCUGAGAAAUCGCGAACACAUCUAAGGAAGGCAGCAGGCGCGAAAACUACCCACUCUCAGCACGAGGAGGUAGUGACGAAAAAUAACGAGACCGUUCUCUUAUGAGGCCGGUCAUCGGAAUGGGUACAAUUUAAACCCUUUAACGAGUAUCUAUGAGAGGGCAAGUCUGGUGCCAGCAGCCGCGGUAAUUCCAGCU
rnacentral:rRNA from 1 species